GCGCCGGGGGGAGGUGCAAGAGGCGUCACAUGUUAUCCAAAGACAAAAUAUGCAACCCACUUAGAUUCACUAAGCCAACAAAUAUUUACUGACAGCCCUCGGUGUGCCAGCCACUGUCCUCAGCACUGAGAAUAGGUUUCUGUGGAUAGCAAUUCAGCACGUUCACCGACAGGCCUUCUCUGCUGCGCUGACUUCUGCUUUGGCCCCUGGAAGCGUGCCCCAUCCCAGGCCUGUUCCAGCUGGUCUCCGUUUGCCUGAGGAAAUCCACCCAGAGACUCCUUGCAUGGGACCCCAACCUUGUGGACAAAACUGAGCCAGAGAUGUGCCAUACCUCACAGCUGCUUUGAGUUGAAGAAUCUUGGAUGGUUUUUGAGAGGGCAGGAGUCUUGUCUGGCUUGUUUGUUCUUGUAUGGUCAGUGCCUCACACAAUGACUAGAAAUUAGUAGAUGCUCAAUAAAUAUUUGUUGACUAA